rnacentral:ncRNA from 1 species
AAUAAACCGAUGAGCAAGGGUAAGUAGUUAUCGGGACGAUUUUUCAGAGAGUUGUCGUUUGGUGUGAGACAAUAAAUCUAAGGUAAUGAAUGGACUUGUGAGGGCAGUUCGAAACCGGAUAUUAUGGAAGUAGUGCUGACGGAUCUUCACCGUUAUAGGAAGUAGCAUAUGUUGGUAUGUGAAUGAGUGAAUGUGAUACACAUUAAUUUGGGUGGUACCGCAGAAGUUUAUGAAUUUAUAGCUUUUGUCCCUUUU